CAUAGUCGACAGUAUUCGAAUCGCCGCGGGAAUAUCCCAAUGGAUUUUCAGUCCAUCGCCUUAACCACUCGGCCACAACUAC